GACGAACGCUGGCGGCGUGCCUAAUACAUGCAAGUUGAGCGCUGAAGGUUGGUACUUGUACCAACUGGAUGAGCAGCGAACGGGUGAGUAACGCGUGGGGAAUCUGCCUUUGAGCGGGGGACAACAUUUGGAAACGAAUGCUAAUACCGCAUAAAAACUUUAAACACAAGUUUUAAGUUUGAAAGAUGCAAUUGCAUCACUCAAAGAUGAUCCCGCGUUGUAUUAGCUAGUUGGUGAGGUAAAGGCUCACCAAGGCGAUGAUACAUAGCCGACCUGAGAGGGUGAUCGGCCACAUUGGGACUGAGACACGGCCCAAACUCCUACGGGAGGCAGCAGGAGGGAAUCUUCGGCAAUGGACGAAAGGCUGACCGAGCAACGCCGCGGGAGUGAAGAAGGGUUUCGGAUCGUAAAACUCGGUUGGUAGAGAAGAACGUUGGUGAGAGUGGAAAGCUCAUCAAGUGACGGUAACUACACAGAAAGGGACGGCUAACUACGUG
rnacentral:rRNA from 1 species